rnacentral:rRNA from 1 species
AGCCUGAUCCAGCCAUCCCGCGUGAAGGACGACGGCCCUAUGGGUUGUAAACUUCUUUUGUACAGGGAUAAACCUUUCCACGUGUGGAAAGCUGAAGGUACUGUACGAAUAAGCACCGGCUAACUCCGUGCCAGCAGCCGCGGUAAUACGGAGGGUGCAAGCGUUAUCCGGAUUUAUUGGGUUUAAAGGGUCCGUAGGCGGAUCCGUAAGUCAGUGGUGAAAUCUCAUAGCUUAACUAUGAAACUGCCAUUGAUACUGCGGGUCUUGAGUAAGGUAGAAGUAGCUGGAAUAAGUAGUGUAGCGGUGAAAUGCAUAGAUAUUACUUAGAACACCAAUUGCGAAGGCAGGUUACUAUGUCUUAACUGACGCUGAUGGACGAAAGCGUGGGGAGCGAACAGGAUUAGAUACCCUGGUAGUCCACGCCGUAAACGAUGCUAACUCGUUUUUGGGCUUUCGGGUUCAGAGACUAAGCGAAAGUGAUAAGUUAGCCACCUGGGGAGUACGAACGCAAGUUUGAAACUCAAAGGAAUUGACGGGGGCCCGCACAAGCGGUGGAUUAUGUGGUUUAAUUCGAUGAUACGCGAGGAACCUUACCAAGACUUAAAUGGGAAUUGAUCGGUUUAGAAAUAGACCUUCCUUCGGGCAAUUUUCAAGGUGCUGCAUGGUUGUCGUCAGCUCGUGCCGUGAGGUGUUAGGUUAAGUCCUGCAACGAGCGCAACCCCUGUCACUAGUUGCCAUCAUUAAGUUGGGGACUCUAGUGAGACUGCCUACGCAAGUAGAGAGGAAGGUGGGGAUGACGUCAAAUCAUCACGGCCCUUACGUCUUGGGCCACACACGUAAUACAAUGGCCGGUACAGAGGGCAGCUACACAGCGAUGUGAUGCAAAUCUCGAAAGCCGGUCUCAGUUCGGAUUGGAGUCUGCAACUCGACUCUAUGAAGCUGGAAUCGCUAGUAAUCGCGCA